GGUCACAUUAUGAUUUGGAAACAAACAAUACUAAAAUCCCAGUGGCUUAAUACACAACAGUUUAUUUAUUUGUUCUCUCAAGGUCUGCUGAGGGUACAGGCAACUUUCCAGGGCAGCUGUCUUCCAUGUGGGAGCUCAGAACCUCAGGCUAAUUCAAUCAUGUGGCAUGUCCAUAACAAGUUCUUCUGGGAUUGCUGCGGCAGUGAAGAAAAUCUGCACGGUCCUAUAGGUGGCUGUGACAGUUCCUUGCUACCAUCAUUCAAAGGUUGUUUAAAAGUGAUUCCUCUUAAACUCCAGAGAAUGGACCAGUUGGCCUAUCAAGUUCCCCUCCACCCAUAGAAGCCCACGAAUGCCAUCAAAUAAUGGAGGCUUUCCUUUCGUGCAAAUAUGCAUGCUAAGAUUUACCAGACUUUCCAGUAGUUGCUUUGUUGCUCUUGUCUCCAGUGAAUCUAUAAGAAGAUCUAUUGUUCUCUAAAAACAAUACUCUGUUGCCCAAUCUCUCUUGUGCAGCUGAAAUUUUCAGGUGCAGUGGUUGUUGGUGUGUUGGGA
rnacentral:lncRNA from 1 species